AACGAACGCUGGCGGCAUGCCUAACACAUGCAAGUCGAACGAGACCUUCGGGUCUAGUUGCGCACGUGUGCGUAACGCGUGGGAACCUGCCCUUAGGUUCGGAAUAACUCCCCGAAGGGGGUGCUAAUACCGGAUAAUGUCUUCGGACCAAAGAUUUAUCGCCUUUGGAUGGGCCCGCGUUGGAUUAGCUAGUUGGUAGGGUAAAAGCCUACCAAGGCGACGAUCCAUAGCUGGUCUGAUAGGAUGAUAAGCCACACUGGGAAUGAGACACGGCCCAGACUCCUACGGGAAGCAGCAGUGGGGAAUAUUGGACAAUGGGCGAAAGCCUGAUACAGCAAUGCCGGGUGAGUGAUGAAGGCCUUAGGGUUGUAAAGCUCUUUUACCCGGGAUGAUAAUGACAGUACCGGGAGAAUAAGCUCCGGCUAACUCCGUG
rnacentral:rRNA from 1 species